CCGGCGACCGGCGGCACGGGUGAGUAACACGUAUGCAACCUGGCCGUGACAGAUGGAUAACCGGGAGAAAUCCCGCCUAAUACAACAUAAUGCCGGGAGGGGACAUCCCCUGCCGGCCAAAGGGGGCGACCCCGGUCACGGAUGGGCAUGCGGCGCAUUAGGUAGUUGGUGGGGCAACGGCCCACCAAGCCGACGAUGCGUAGGGGUUCUGAGAGGAAGGUCCCCCACAUUGGUACUGAGACACGGACCAAACUCCUACGGAAGGCAGCAG
rnacentral:rRNA from 1 species